UCCCACUCUUGCCGGCUCCCCUUCCUCUCCUUCCGAGAAUCUCUGUGCUGGCGUAGUCACAUGUUUAGGCUUUGAUGCCUUUAAUCCCACCCUCACCGCCCGAGAGGGAGGAGAAGAAUUUGCGGGAGAGAAGUGAGCAACAAGCGGAGCGGCAAGAUAGAGCGGAAAGGGGAGCGCGGCUGCAUGGACCGCCCGGCCCGCCGGGGGCGGAGAGCCGGCAGAAGGGGAGCGGAGGGGCCGCAUCAGCGGGGAGCGCGGCUCUGCCGCGGGCUGCGGGACGCCUCCCGGUGCGCGGGGCGAGGCUGCCGAGCAGGAAAGGGCUUGGACAAAUUGUGCAGGUUUGGCAGCCACUACCCCAGUGAUACCUCGCAAUCCAGGGAGGAUGCAUCAGAAUUGAAUGAAUGAGGGCAUGAAUAGAGCAGGGGU
rnacentral:lncRNA from 1 species